rnacentral:rRNA from 1 species
GAUCCUGGCUCAGGAUGAACGCUGGCGGCGUGCCUAACACAUGCAAGUCGAACGGGAUGCGUAUCGGAAAGCUUCGGCCGGAAGAUGCGUUAUCUAGUGGCGGACGGGUGAGUAACACGUGGGUAACCUGCCUUAUGGAGGGGGAUAACAGAGAGAAAUCACUGCUAAUACCGCAUAAGCACACAGUACCGCAUGGUACAUGGUGAAAAGAUUUAUCACCAUAAGAUGGACCCGCGU